GCGGCCACGGGUGGUGGCGAGGGGGUUACGCCAAGUAAACCGGGCUGCCGCGUAAACCACGCUUCGGUCUCUCCCGCAGGGCCCGGCACCCCGACACCGCCGCCUCCUGCGCUGGCCGGAGCACGGGGGUGCUCGUCCCGCACCAGAGGCCUGGGCAAGUCCCAGGCCAGCGGUGUGCGCGACGGCGAGGUAGCGACUGUGGGACUCGCCGGGCCUCGAAACCCGUCGCGAAGGCCUGAGAUGAGUUUUCUGUGCUGUAAGCUCUGCGAUGUCUGCUCAGACCCCACGCCCUGCAAGAGAAAGGUUACACCACUAUCAGUGCUGAACUUCAAGCCCACUGUCAGCCCCCACAGGAUUCAUUCAGACCCAGGACAGCGCCUGCCACUGUCAUUACAGCUUAGCCUUUUCUGAAUGGUAACACAGUUCACGUUUUUCCAAGUCCUGAUUGAGGGGCAAGAGGAGGCUCGCCCAGAGGCUUCACCAGGAAGAAGUUCACAAGGACCCUUCAGUUCACAAGCGUGCUCAAAACACAUCACCCGUGAGCCAUUCACUGUCCAACAAGAAAAGAGACUUCAGUUAAAUGUAUGUAGCUACCUUUUGGCUUGGGUGGUUUAAAACAAACAAAAAUAAAAAAAUAUAUUCUGGAAAGAAAAUAAAACA
rnacentral:lncRNA from 1 species